rnacentral:rRNA from 1 species
AGUGAACGCUGGCGGCAGGCCUAAUACAUGCAAGUCGAACGGCAGCACAGUGGAGCUUGCUCCAUGGGUGGCGAGUGGCGGACGGGUGAGGAAUACAUGGGAAUCUGCCCAGUCGUGGGGGAUAACGUAUGGAAACGUACGCUAAUACCGCAUGCGCCCUUCGGGGGAAAGUCGGGGACCGCAAGGCCUGACGCGAUUGGAUGAGCCCAUGUUCGAUUAGCUAGUUGGCGGGGUAACGGCCCACCAAGGCGACGAUCGAUAGCUGGUCUGAGAGGAUGAUCAGCCACACUGGAACCGAGACACGGUCCAGACUCCUACGGGAGGCAGCAGUAGGGAAUAUUGGACAAUGGGCGCAAGCCUGAUCCAGCCAUGCCGCGUGAGUGAAGAGGCCCUCGGGUUGUAAAGCUC